rnacentral:lncRNA from 1 species
GCUCAUCUUUGUCCCUUUUUUAGGACCUUCUUGCCAAACCUAUGAGAUCAUCAUGGUGUCCCUCUCCGGAGGUCUCUUCUUGCUUGCUGUGAUAGUCAUUGCAGUGCAGACAAUCCGAAAGCGAAUACUGCAUUUUCAGAGGCAGGCUAAACUGAGAGCUUCCAUCAAAGUUUUUUCAGUAGCCGAAGUAGUUGUGCCAAAUAAGGACCAUGAUGGUGAAGAAAUCUUUACGGCAGAGAUUAUGGGUCCAGCAUGUGUCAGUUACAUAUCAGAGAAGAAGAAACCAUUCUGUGAUGUUCUCACUUCUGAAACCAAGCCUGACGGUGAUAAAGUUUCAUUCACACCUUCUGUCAUUCCACCAGACACAUCUCCAAAAUUGUGAAUGGAUCAUAGCUUCUUCCGACUCAUCUAUAACAACGGUCUGUUAAAAAACUAUGAUCGGACAACAAUGUGUUGUUGUUUUGAUUUAUGUACUGCCCCGUAGUACCAAAGCACUCCCUGGACGGUUUACAAUAUAAUCAUGCAAACAACAACUUCGCCCACCAGCAAGCUUGGUACUCAUCUUACUGACCUUGGAAGGAUGGAAAGCUGAGCCAGCUUUGAGAUGGCUACCUGGAGCCUGUUGGGAUCAAAUUCAAUUCGUGAGCAGAAGCUUGAUUGCAAUACUGCAGUUUAAGGCUCAAUGUAGUCCUUUCCUUCUUUCUAUAGCUACUAAGGCCCUAUGUUAUGAACUUGGAACAUGAAAUGCAGCAAAACCCAGAAGCCCAUUUUCUUUCCAAUAGCAAAAACAAAAACAAAAAAAACCACUUUCCAGCUUUUCCAUCACUACAUUGUUGACAUGAAUUGCUGUAUUUGUCGUUUUCUCUCACAUAUGAAAAACACAGGUAAAUAUGACUUGUUCCUUGUGGCAUUCUGCUUAUUCUGAAGAAUCAGGCCCACGAGAGGUUUUGAACUGCCCUGAAACCCUGAGCUGGCCUAUAUGUAAGUGGCUGUAUUUUGCUUAACAAGAAAAUGUGUCCUCUGCUCCAGUCUUCAUCAAGAGCUUGG